CUUCGCCCCUGUUUAGGAGCAAUUGUUUAUAUACUCCUGAAAAGUUUCUGACUUUCUGAUUUACCUCUCUUAGAAGACUAAUAUUGAAAAUACCAUUUUUACUCUCCAAUCUAUUUCAAACAUACCCCUAGAGUUAAAAUCUGCUAUUGAACUCUAUUAUCUCUACAAAAUUACUAUUUUGCCCUUUCAAAUAUACACUUCUACCAGCACCGACUUUUCUUAUUUGCCCUUAAGUUAGGGGCACAAAAGUAUUUUACUUUUUGGUCUUUUCAAAUAUACCCUUCUACCAUCACCAGUAUUUCUUAUUUGAUCUUAAGUUAAGGACAACAAAAGUGGUAUUUUAAUUUUUUUUAACUGUGAUAGAUAUUUAAUUCACAUUUAACUUAAGUUAAUUUAACGGGUGAUAACUGUAGGAAUAUUUUGGAAUAACGGAGGAACAUAUGAGGGGUAUAUUGAAAAGAAAAAAAAAUUAGGGAUGCAUGAGACAUUUCUAAAGUUUUGAGGAGUAUAUAGGCAAUUAUCCCUUUAUUUAUUUUAGUACAGGGAAAUUUGACUAAAAGAACUUAAUUAAAGCAAUUGAUAGAUACAAUUAAAAAUCCUGAUGUUUUCAAAUAUAUCCCUGUCGUUAGAAUUUAUUAGAAAAAAUUAGUUAAUCAUAGAUUAAAUACUUCACUUUGGUUAGUUAAUGAGGUGUGAAUUGACCUUUUUACCCCUUUUCAAUUAACAGUUGGAACUUUUGAAGGGAUAUAAUUGUGAUGGCAAAAAGGUCAUUUCACUUAUAAAAUAGGCAGUAUUUUAACGGUAAUAAACCAUAGAGACAUAUUUGAAAAUAUUAUGACUUUUGAAAGGUCAACAUAUAAAAGUUAAAUUUUGUAGGAAUAUAUUUGUAAUUCAUUAUAUUUGUAAAAAUCUGUAUAAAAUUAACCCUAAAAUAAAAAUACACUACAAAAUAAUGAAUGCUAAUUAAUAAUAAUCGAAAAGUAAAUUGCACUGCUAGUGCUCAAACUAUGCGACACAUGACACUUUGUUUCUCGAACUUUAAUUUGUUAUAUUUUUUGCUCAAAUAUUUUAGAUUAUCACAAUGAAGUUUCACAAUGUAAGUUAAUCGAUUAAUAGAAUUGCGUUGUUGAUGUGUCGUGAUAUAGGAGUAUUAUUAUUAUUAAUAACGUGAGAAUAAUUAAAAAUAAUGUAUUAAGUAUCACAUCAGCAGCACAUUAUUAUUCAAUUAAUAAAAUUGUACCGUAUGACUAGUUUACAAUAGUAUAAAAAAAAAUAAGAAAAACUUCAAAUAUCCCCCCUGUGGUUUCGUACUUUCUCACAUUAGUACCCUGUGGUUUAAAAGGUAUCAAGUUGGUACCCUGUGGUUUCGCACUUUCUCACUUUAGUACCCUAUGGUUUCAAGUGUAUCAAGUUAGUAUCCUAUAGUUUCAUUUUUGUAUCAAGUUAGUACUCUGUGGUUUUAAUUUUUUUUUUAUUAUCUAUUUCGGGGUAUAUAAUUUAACGAAAUAUUAAGCCACAUGGUACUAAAGUGAGAAAGUGCGAAACCACAGGGUACUAACUUGAUACACUUGAAACCAUAGGGUACUAAAGUGAGAAAGUGCGAAACCACAUGUACUAAUUUGAUACAUUUUAAACCACAUGGUACUAAAAUGAAAAAGUGCGAAACCACAUAGGGGUAUUUGAAGUUUUCCCAGAAAAUUAAGUUAAGAAUUAUAAAAAAAUUAAAAUUUGUACCGAAGUGCCAGACGCUUCAUAGUUUGAGGACUAAAGUGCAAUUUUGCUUAACAAAGUAAUAAUUAGGGAUGUCAAUGAGAACAGAUAUCCGAAAUUUUAUCCGAAUCCGAACUCUAAUGAAGCAGAUUUAUCCGAUGCUAAAUGGGUAUGGUUUCGGACAUGGAUAUUAAAAAUAAAAAUCUGACGAAUAUGGAUACAGAUAUGAAUUUUGACUGUAUCCGAUUCGAACCCGAACACGAUCCGAACCCGAAUUUUCUUUACAUUAUAUAUAAUAUGUAUAUAAAAAUU
rnacentral:lncRNA from 1 species